rnacentral:rRNA from 1 species
AGUCGGCAAACAGACUUUGAUCCGGAGAUCUCUGAAUGGGGGAACCCACCUAGGAUAACCUAGGUAUCUUGUACUGAAUCCAUAGGUGCAAGAGGCGAACCAGGGGAACUGAAACAUCUAAGUACCCUGAGGAAAAGAAAUCAACCGAGAUUCCCUUAGUAGUGGCGAGCGAACGGGGAUUAGCCCUUAAGCUUCAUUGAUUUUAGCGGAACGCUCUGGAAAGUGCGGCCAUAGUGGGUGAUAGCCCCGUACGCGAAAGGAUCUUUGAAGUGAAAUCGAGUAGGACGGAGCACGAGAAACUUUGUCUGAAUAUGGGGGGACCAUCCUCCAAGGCUAAAUACUCCUGACUGACCGAUAGUGAACCAGUACCGUGAGGGAAAGGCGAAAAGAACCCCUGUGAGGGGAGUGAAAUAGAACCUGAAACCGUGUACGUACAAGCAGUGGGAGCCUACUUGUUAGGUGACUGCGUACCUUUUGUAUAAUGGGUCAGCGACUUACAUUUUGUAGCGAGGUUAACCGUAUAGGGGAGCCGUAGGGAAACCGAGUCUUAACUGGGCGUCUAGUUGCAAGGUGUAGACCCGAAACCGGGUGAUCUAGCCAUGGGCAGGUUGAAGGUUGAGUAACAUCAACUGGAGGACCGAACCCACUAACGUUGCAAAGUUAGGGGAUGACCUGUGGCUGGGGGUGAAAGGCCAAUCAAACUCGGAGAUAGCUGGUUCUCCCCGAAAGCUAUUUAGGUAGCGCCUCAUGUAUCACUCUGGGGGGUAGAGCACUGUUUCGGCUAGGGGGUCAUCCCGACUUACCAAACCGAUGCAAACUCCGAAUACCCAGAAGUGCCGAGCAUGGGAGACACACGGCGGGUGCUAACGUCCGUCGUGAAAAGGGAAACAACCCAGACCGCCAGCUAAGGUCCCAAAGUUGUGGUUAAGUGGUAAACGAUGUGGGAAGGCUUAGACAGCUAGGAGGUUGGCUUAGAAGCAGCCAUCMUUUAAAGAAAGCGUAAUAGCUCACUAGUCGAGUCGGCCUGCGCGGAAGAUGUAACGGGGCUCAAACCACACACCGAAGCUGCGGGUGUCACGUAAGUGACGCGGUAGAGGAGCGUUCUGUAAGCCUGUGAAGGUGAGUUGAGAAGCUUGCUGGAGGUAUCAGAAGUGCGAAUGCUGACAUGAGUAACGACAAUGGGUGUGAAAAACACCCACGCCGAAAGACCAAGGGUUCCUGCGCAACGUUAAUCGACGCAGGGUUAGUCGGUUCCUAAGGCGAGGCUGAAAAGCGUAGUCGAUGGGAAACAGGUUAAUAUUCCUGUACUUCUGGUUACUGCGAUGGAGGGACGGAGAAGGCUAGGCCAGCUUGGCGUUGGUUGUCCAAGUUUAAGGUGGUAGGCUGAAAUCUUAGGUAAAUCCGGGGUUUCAAGGCCGAGAGCUGAUGACGAGUCGUCUUUUAGAUGACGAAGUGGUUGAUGCCAUGCUUCCAAGAAAAGCUUCUAAGCUUCAGGUAACCAGGAACCGUACCCCAAACCGACACAGGUGGUCGGGUAGAGAAUACCAAGGCGCUUGAGAGAACUCGGG